GACGAACGCUGGCGGCGUGCUUAACACAUGCAAGUCGAACGCUGAAGCUCAGCUUUUGUUGGGUGGAUGAGUGGCGAGCGGGUGAGUAACACGUGAGUAACCUGCCCCCUUCUUUGGGAUAACGCCCGGAAACGGGUGCUAAUACUGGAUAUUCACUGGUCUUCGCAUGGGGGUUGGUGGAAAGGGUUUUUCUGGUGGGGGAUGGGCUCGCGGCCUAUCAGCUUGUUGGUGGGGUGAUGGCCUACCAAGGCUUUGACGGGUAGCCGGCCUGAGAGGGUGACCGGUCACAUUGGGACUGAGAUACGGCCCAGACUCCUACGGGAGGCAGCAGUGGGGAAGAUUGCACAAUGGGCGCAAGCCUGAUGCAGCGACGCCGCGUGAGGGAUGGAGGCCUUCGGGUUGUGAACCUCUUUCGCUCAUGGUCAAGCCGCAACAAUGGUUGUGGUGAGGGUAGUGGGUAAAGAAGCGCCGGCUAACUACGUG
rnacentral:rRNA from 1 species